AUUAAACGCUGGCGGCAUGCCUAACACAUGCAAGUCGAGCGAGCGGCGGACGGGUGAGUAAUAUAUGGGGACUGCCUGAUAGAGGGGGAUAACUACUGGAAACGGUGGCUAAUACCGCAUACUAUCGGAUAACCCAUAUGGGAUUAGCUAGUAGGUGGGGUAAAGGCUCACCUAGGCGACGAUCCCUAGCUGGUCUGAGAGGAUGAUCAGCCACACUGUGACGUGGACACGGCCCAGACUCCUACGGAGGCAGCAGGGGGGAAUAUUGCCCAAUGGGCGCAAGCCUGAUGCAGCCAUGCAGCGUGUAUGAAGAAGGCCUUAGGGUUGUAAAGUACUUUCGGCGGGGAGGCGUUACCCGCAGAAGAAGCACCGGCUAACUCCGUGCCAGCAGCCGCGGUAAUUC
rnacentral:rRNA from 1 species